rnacentral:lncRNA from 1 species
AAGCGUUUGUAAACUGUGCUAUCCCUUCAACUUGCUGCUGUUUGUUCCUUGUUAACACUCUCUUUCUAUGAGUUGUCUGUACCUACAUAGCAUACUCCUUUUCCUUCUCAUCCACUCCCUCCGUAAACUCCUCUCCCUAAAGUGGCCAGUGGCCAUCUGCAGAUCCAUCUGUCUCGUCUUCCUCUGGGCUCCUCUCUCCCCUGCACCAUGGGC